rnacentral:rRNA from 1 species
CCUACGGGAGGCAGCAGUAGGGAAUUUUCCACAAUGGGCGAAAGCCUGAUGGAGCAAUACCGCGUGCAGGAUGAAGGCCUUCGGGUCGUAAACUGCUUUUAUGUGCGAAGAAUUUGACGGUAACACAUGAAUAAGGAUCGGCUAACUACGUGCCAGCAGCCGCGGUCAUACGUAGGAUCCAAGCGUUAUCCGGAAUUACUGGGCGUAAAGAGUUGCGUAGGUGGCAUUAUAAGUGGAGCGUGAAAGCGUGCGGCUCAACCGCAUUAUUGCGUUCCAAACUGUGAAGCUUGAGUAUGGGAGAGGUAGAUGGAAUUUCUAGUGUAGGAGUGAAAUCCGUAGAUAUUAGAAGGAACACCGAUGGCGUAGGCAGUCUACUGGCCCAUUACUGACACUAAGGCACGAAAGCGUGGGGAGCAAACGGGAUUAGAUACCCCGGUAGUCCACGCUGUAAACUAUGGAUGCUAGCUGUGACACACAUCGACCUGUGUCGUAGCGAAGUUAACGCGUUAAGCAUCCCGCUGGGGAUACGGUCGCAAGNUUAAAACUUAANGAAUUGACGG